UCCCUUGCCUGCAACCCCCCCAUACACACCCCAGUGUUCCUCGCGCCCGCCUGCGCCCUGUUCUGAAGCUAAGCUAGUAGUAGCUACCUAGCUACAGAAGCUAAUCACCUCGAGACUGACGGCGGAGUAGUGACAAGAAGAUGGCGGAGUGAGUGGGUUGCGCUUUGAAGGAAAGCAGCGACCCUUGAUUACCGUAAUAUAUUAUACAGAGGAAAAUACAUCGACAUUUUAAAAUACAGCGGAAAUUUGACGAACGAAGAAUAUUGCCCCUCUCGCGGAGGUGGUUCAAGUAGAUUAUCGAACUGGGCUUCGCCGUUCCGCUGGUGUCCUUUCGAUAGCUCGACGCUAGCGGGCUGCUGUAGCUAGCGCGUUAGCUACCCAAGGCACACUGGGCGACGCACAAACAAGACACUUAUUGGGAGUGUUUUCAGAAGAAUUCUGUUGCCCUAUUCGUGAAAUGAGUUGAUUUUAUUUUUCAAGAUUUAUCAGGAUUUUUUUAUUAGCUAACUAGCGAAUAGCAAAAACAAACAAAUUCUGUUGGCUAGUUAGCUAACGUUAGAUUGUUUCAAGUAGCGUACAUCGCCCACGACCACAACGGAGGACUGUAUGUUCUGAUAACGAACUGGCCGAAUAGGGGAAUUGACGGAGCAAUCCCAUAUAAUCCUAUUUUAAAUUGAUCGGGGUUGCUCGUGAUUUCGAGGAUAUGGCAAGCAGUAGCGGCUCUAAAGCCGAAUUCAUUGUCGGUGGAAAAUACAAGCUUGUCAGAAAAAUUGGAUCUGGAUCAUUUGGUGAUAUAUACUUGGCAAUCAACAUUACAAAUGGAGAGGAGGUAGCUGUAAAAUUGGAAUCUCAGAAAGCCAGACAUCCUCAACUGUUAUAUGAAAGUAAGCUGUACAAAAUCUUACAGGGAGGAGUUGGAAUCCCGCACAUAAGGUGGUAUGGCCAAGAAAAGGACUACAAUGUCCUAGUGAUGGACCUUCUGGGACCCAGUCUGGAAGACCUUUUCAAUUUCUGUUCGCGCAGGUUCACGAUGAAAACUGUACUAAUGCUUGCGGACCAGAUGAUCAGCAGAAUCGAAUAUGUGCAUACAAAGAACUUCAUUCACAGAGAUAUCAAGCCAGACAACUUUUUAAUGGGAAUUGGCCGUCACUGUAACAAGUGUUUAGAAUCUCCAGUGGGGAAGAGGAAAAGAAGCUUGGCUGUUAGUUCUUCUCAGGACCCAUCUUUCUCAGGAUUAAACCAGUUGUUCCUCAUCGACUUUGGUCUGGCCAAAAAAUACCGGGACAACAGGACACGACAGCACAUACCCUACAGAGAAGACAAAAAUCUCACAGGCACAGCUCGCUAUGCCAGCAUCAAUGCACACCUGGGUAUCGAGCAGAGUCGCCGAGAUGACAUGGAGUCGCUAGGAUACGUCCUGAUGUACUUCAACAGAACCAGCCUGCCCUGGCAGGGACUAAAGGCUGCCACAAAGAAACAGAAGUACGAGAAGAUUAGCGAGAAGAAGAUGUCCACUCCAGUUGAGGUGUUGUGUAAGGGUUUCCCGGCAGAGUUUGCCAUGUACCUGAACUACUGCCGUGGGCUGCGGUUUGAGGAGGCGCCGGACUACAUGUACCUGCGUCAGCUGUUCCGCAUUCUCUUCAGGACUCUGAACCACCAGUAUGACUACACGUUUGACUGGACCAUGCUGAAGCAGAAAGCAGCCCAGCAGGCCGCAUCCUCAGGGGGACAGGGGCAACAGGCACAAACCCCCACAGGCAAGCAAACUGACAAACCCAAGAGUAACAUGAAAGUCUCCCCCCUCCCUCUCGUAGAGGGUAUCCCGGGUGCCCAGGGUUGAUGGCGGAGGAGUCAACCCAAUUUUUCAAAAAACCUGAAGAAGUUUUCAUCAGGUUUCUGAGCAGUAAGACAAUGAAAUGAAGCAGAGCAGAAUGGCCGUUGCAGGAUUUGCCUUCCAAUCACACCCCGGCAUCCAGGAUCAAGUUCACCAGAACCUGCCAGGCAUUGUGGGCAACCCUCUUUUCCUGUUAAAGAACUUUCGUUCCAUAUAUUAUAUAUGUAAUCGCUCUAUAUAGAUACCAUGCUCUGCAUAUAUCUAUAUAUUGUUAUGUAUAUACUAUAUCCACACAGAAAGCAGGCUUGAUAUGGAAUCUUUCAAAGCUGUAGCCUUCUCUAUUGUCCUGUCCCUGAAGAUUUUUUUUUUUUUUUCUUCAAAACUGAAAACUAAGAAAUGGUGGGCUCACUGAGGAUGUAAUUGUGCACAUGCCAAUACUUUCCCCUUGACACCUUUUCCCUCUGAGCGGCUGCUUGGGUGCCUGCCUCACCUCAUAGUCGCCUGUCAGAGCAGCAGUUUCUCCCUUUCCCUCAGUCACAGAGUGGCAUGAUGACACAACAGUCAGAUUGAACAUUUGAAACAACCAUUUUCCUCUUCCUUACCCCCCCCCCCCCUUCAUUCUCGAGCAAAAUGAAAGGUGUAAACUGAAACUGUUUCCUUUGUCAUGAACGAAUCCUGGGUAUUUACUAAGCAUACAUUGGAUUUAUUUUUGUUUUUCAUAAAGGUAAUUAAGAUUCUGCCUGCUGAUAUGUGCUAGAAGAGCUUCUAAUGUGAAGAUGAAAACAAUUCUAGUGACUACUAGGUUUCUCUUUAGAACGCUGCGUUAACUACAUUGUACUUGGUAUUCUGAAAUUUCAACCAAUAAACAAGAUGAACUCCACAAAAGCAUAUUCAUUAUAAAUUAGGCACCUCUUGAAUAAACCUGUUUGUAAAUUGCUUAAAAGAAAAUGAUGCAUCAAUUAACCUUUUUUUUUUUUUGGAGAUGUUAAUGUCUAUGGACAAAUGUAACCUUUUUUUGAGAUUCAUUUAAUUCCUACUAUGGGUGGCCUCGAUGUUCGUUUAUGAGACAAACAUGCUCACUCCAUCCACCCUUUCCGUUAUCAUUUUUAUAUUCAUAUAUACACUUUUUUUUUUUUUUAUCAGAACUUUCUCUCCGUUUUAUAGAUUUGUCUUUCCCUGUAUUGAAUUGAUCAUUUUGGGGGAAGGGUGUUUUUGUUGCUUCCUCCUGUGGUGAAGCAGAUCCUCUUGUAAAAUACUCUGGGACUUUCUCUCUGCAACUAAAUUUCGCUGCUACUUAGAGUAGCAACCGUUUCCUUAUUUUUGUUCCUUUUUUUAUUGCGAAGAAAGUUUUGGAGGGUUUGUUUUCUAUAUACUUUGAGUCUUGUAAGGCAAGAAUAAUUUGGAUUUAUCUCAGCCUUUAGUCACAACAGAUGCACACCAGUAACUUGGCUGUUUGUCUCCCUCCUUAUUAUCCUCCUGACCCAGCUUUAGCUAUUUUACAGCUGGACAUUCUAUAAAAGUGUAAUUUAUUCCCUUUUAGCAUGUCAGAAUAAAUUAAAUGACUUGUCAGAACCACUGUCCCAGUGUCUGUAAUUUAAAGGAAUCAGACUGCCUUAGGCCUGGAUAAUGUUAUGGCUGUAAACUUUUAUUUUUGUUUUAUUUUUCAUUUGCUUGUCUUUACACAUUACCUGUAAACUACCACACAACCCAAGUAUUGUGAGCAUUUGGAAAACGUGAUACAUUGACGGAAUUGGGGAUGGAUGAGAUACCUUGGUCAAUAUGUCGGAGGCAACUAAUUUGUCCAACAGUAUGAUUGCUUCAGACAAAGGGAACAAUUGUGGAAAUGGUCUAAAAGGUUAUUGCUGUAAUUUAGACCAAAGCAGUCCCAGUGAAAUGAUAUUGUUGGGGUGGUGGUUAGACGUAGGUGCUUGUGGUGGUGUUUUGAAAAAAAAUCUUCCAGGAUUUAUAUCUGUAAAUAUUAAAAUGGCUUCAAAUGGC